rnacentral:rRNA from 1 species
UACGUCCCUGCCCUUUGUACACACCGCCCGUCGCUACUACCGAUUGAAUGGCUCAGUGAGGCCUCCGGACUGGCUCGAAGAGGUUGGCAACGACCACUUCGAGCCGGAAAGUUCGUCAAACUCGGUCAUUUAGAGGAAGUAAAAGUCGUAACAAGGUUUCCGUAGGUGAACCUGCGGAAGGAUCAUUACCUAGAGUUGUAGGCUUUGCCUACCAUCUCUUACCCAUGUCUUUUGAGUACCUUCGUUUCCUCGGCGGGUCCGCCCGCCGAUUGGACAAACUUAAACCCUUUGUAAUUGAAAUCAGCGUCUGAAAAAACAUAAUAGUUACAACUUUCAACAACGGAUCUCUUGGUUCUGGCAUCGAUGAAGAACGCAGCGAAAUGCGAUAAGUAGUGUGAAUUGCAGAAUUUAGUGAAUCAUCGAAUCUUUGAACGCACAUUGCGCCCCUUGGUAUUCCAUGGGGCAUGCCUGUUCGAGCGUCAUUUGUACCUUCAAGCUCUGCUUGGUGUUGGGUGUUUGUCUCGCCUUUGCGUGUAGACUCGCCUUAAAACAAUUGGCAGCCGGCGUAUUGAUUUCGGAGCGCAGUACAUCUCGCGCUUUGCACUCAUAACGACGACGUCCAAAAAGUACUUUUUACACUCUUGACCUCGGAUCAGGUAGGGAUACCUGCUGAACUUAAGCAUAUCAAUAAGCGGAGGAAAAGAAACCAACAGGGAUUGCCCUAGUAACGGCGAGUGAAGCGGCAACAGCUCAAAUUUGAAAUCUGGCGUCUUUGGCGUCCGAGUUGUAAUUUGCAGAGGGCGCUUUGGCAUUGGCAGCGGUCCAAGUCCCUUGGAACAGGACGUCA